AUUGAACGCUGGCGUCAGGCCUAACACAUGCAAGUCGAGCGAGCGGCGGACGGGUGAGUAAUGUAUGGGAAUCUGCCUGAUGGAGGGGGAUAACUACUGGAAACGGUAGCUAAUACCGCAUACCAUCAGAUGUGCCCAUAUGGGAUUAGCUUGUGGGUGGGGUAACGGCUCACCAAGGCGACGAUCCCUAGCUGGUCUGAGAGGAUGAUCAGCCACACUGGAACUGAGACACGGCCCAGACUCCUACGGGAGGCAGCAGUGGGGAAUAUUGCACAAUGGGCGCAAGCCUGAUGCAGCCAUGCCGCGUGUAUGAAGAAGGCCUUCGGGUUGUAAAGUACUUUCAGCGGGGAGGCGUUACCGACAGAAGAAGCACCGGCUAACUCCGUGCCAGCAGCCGCGGUAAUAC
rnacentral:rRNA from 1 species